rnacentral:tRNA from 1 species
ACCAGAGUGGCUCAGUUGGUUGAGCAUCUGACUUGGGCUCAGGUCAUGAUCUCACGGUUUGUGAGUUCAAGCCCCACAUCGGGCU